rnacentral:rRNA from 1 species
GACGUAGGUGGCGAACGUUAUCCGGAAUUAUUGGGCGUAAAGGGUGCGUAGAUGGCUUGACAAGUUAGUGGUGGGAAAUCGAGGCUCAACCUCGUGGAAGUCACUAAUACUAUCAAACUAGAGUGCAGGAGAGGUUAAUGGAACUCCAUGUGUAGCGGUAAAAUGCGACGAUAUAUGGAUGAACACCAAUAAAGGCGAAGGCAGUUAACUAUUCUGCUACUGACAGUGAGGGCACGAAAGCGUGGGGAGCAAAACGG